rnacentral:rRNA from 1 species
UACAGAGGUGCCAAGCGUUAGGCGGAAUCACUGGGCUUAAAGCGCGCGUAGGCGGAUGUUUAAGUGUCUUGUGAAAUCCCACGGCUCAACCGUGGAACUGCUGGGCAUACUGGACAUCUCGAGGCACUCAGGGGCGAGCGGAACAAGUGGUGGAGCGGUGAAAUGCGUAGAUAUCAAGAGGAACACCUGAGGUGAAGACGGGUUGCUGGGCCAACACUGACGCUGAGGCGCGAAAGCCAGGGGAGCAAACGGG